UACGUAGGUGGCAAGCGUUGUCCGGAUUUACUGGGUGUAAAGGGAGCGUAGGCGGCUUAGUAAGUCAGAAGUGAAAGCCCGCAGCUCAACUGCGGGACUGCUUUUGAAACUGCCAAGCUAGAGUGUCGGAGAGGGAAGUGGAAUUCCAUGUGUAGCGGUGAAAUGCGUAGAGAUAUGGAGGAACACCAGUGGCGAAGGCGGCUUACUGGACGAUGACUGACGCUGAGGCUCGAAAGCGUGGGGAGCAAACAGG
rnacentral:rRNA from 1 species